UAUUUAAAUAGCUUAAGAAGAGCAAAAUAUUGAAGAUAUUUAGGUAAAUUUUAUUUUUUAAAUAA
rnacentral:tRNA from 1 species